rnacentral:rRNA from 1 species
GAUGAACGCUGGCGGCGUGCCUAAUACAUGCAAGUCGAGCGAACAGACGAGGAGCUUGCUCCUCUGACGUUAGCGGCGGACGGGUGAGUAACACGUGGAUAACCUACCUAUAAGACUGGGAUAACUUCGGGAAACCGGAGCUAAUACCGGAUAAUAUAUUGAACCGCAUGGUUCAAUAGUGAAAGACGGUUUUGCUGUCACUUAUAGAUGGAUCCGCGCCGCAUUAGCUAGUUGGUAAGGUAACGGCUUACCAAGGCAACGAUGCGUAGCCGACCUGAGAGGUGGGUGGGCCAACCGGGACUCGGAACCGGUUCCGACUCCCAAGGGGAGCAGCAAGGGGGGAUUCUGCCCAAAUGGGCGAAACCCUGACGGAGCAACGCCGGGGGGGGGAUAAGGGUUUGCGGUUCGUAAAACUUUUUUUUGGGGGAAAAAAAAAGGGUAAGGUAACAUUCCCCUUCUGGACGGGACCUAAUCAAAAAGCCCGGGCAAACUACGG